GCAAAACACAGGCUGCCAAAAGUGUUAAAACGCUGAGAUUGAAAAGAAUCGUGCAUAAAUUAGCGUUUUGUGGAAGCGGCUGUCAGCGCUGGUCGCGCGCAGCCACCUGCGGCUGCGAUAAUGACAGAACUGCCAGAGCUGCGCGCGCGCGAGCGCACACUUAGGACUCUGCGGCUCCGCAACACAAUGAACGUCAUGUAACGAGCACAAUGAACGUGCUGCUAAAUGGGACUCGGCCUCGCUUCCGUCAUUAAGCCAUCAGGCUGCGGUUCACGCCUUCAUUUAGCGCUUUGUCCUAAUUAUAUACAACAAAGAGCAGAACGGGCCACAGGCCGAGGCCCACGUGGUUCUGUCCAAAGCCCGGAUCGUUCAGCGGAACCUUUUGUGGAAUAACGACAGACGCGUGAGGAGUGGAGCUGGCGUCAGAUCAGCGGCUUCGCUCCCGCUGAGCCGAGACGCGUUAAAAGCUUUAAUGGAAAACGCUCUUCGCGCACGCGGAGAUAGAACACGAUGGUCCCAACGCGUCUCAGACGCAGCGGCUUCGUGAGCACGAGGAGCAAAGCCUCCAGCUGCUGCUGAGCCUCGAGCAGCGUCACCGCGGCUCCACGUGGACGCAAGGCGCGAACGCAGCUUCUGACGAUGACAGCCCUUAAAAGCAGCGUUCACCCGUCGGAUCAAACCAGAGGCUUGGUUUUCCAGGAGGAAGAACAGCAGCUUUCAAACCGUCGCUUCCUGUCGUAACGAUGACGGAUGAAAGUGUGACAGGCUCCAGGCAGAACAGAGGGGGGCGCUUUAUUUUGUCUCCCUCAGAUUCAGACACACUAGGCCCCAGUUGAGCGUUUAAGGAGCUCUGGGGCCUGUUGGCAGCUGGGUUCACAGGGUCCCUGAACGCAGCACGAGGAAAACCAGGACCACCACUGAGGUAUAAUGGCUUCACAGCAUCUAGCCAUCAUGUACAAAGGCUGUUUGAGAUCAGACCCAGAACACUGGUCCCGUGUCCGGAUACGAAGCCUGGACGUGUGUUUAAGGUUAGGGGGGGGUCCACACUGGUUUCAUUACCUAGAACCCUCCUGGUGGCAGCACCUCUGGGCUUCUGACUGGACUGUGUUGCUGGAUAACUGGAAAUGUGGCAGCGUUCUGGUUUAACUGGUGAACGUCCAGCUGUCAACACUAAAAACGACGGUUCUCAACAGUGAAUAAAUCUGACAGCUGCAGGUGUAAAUAAAGACAGUUUUAAUUAUCGACGCAUAAAACAUCCUUCAACCAGUAAACCCAGUCCAGGGUCUCUGUACAAGGCUUACUAAGCACUUUAUCAUAUAGAAAACAUAGAAGCAGCCGUGCUGAAAAUCACACGGCUCCUUUAGAUUUUAUGGCAGGUUCUGGGAAAAACAUACAGCAUUCCAUCAACAUAUGUUCAAGCAAUAAAUAUGCCUUUAUAAAUAGAGUCAAUUUACAUCGAAAUAAAAAAACAAAAACAAAUUAAAGUUCACUCAGUCUAUGUGCAACCUUU